rnacentral:rRNA from 1 species
CAGUAGCCGCGGUAAUACGGAGGGUGCAAGCGUUAAUCGGAAUUACUGGGCGUAAAGCGCACGCAGGCGGUUUGUUAAGUCAGAUGUGAAAUCCCCGAGCUUAACUUGGGAACUGCAUUUGAAACUGGCAAGCUAGAGUCUUGUAGAGGGGGGUAGAAUUCCAGGUGUAGCGGUGAAAUGCGUAGAGAUCUGGAGGAAUACCGGUGGCGAAGGCGGCCCCCUGGACAAAGACUGACGCUGAGGCACGAAAGCGUGGGGAGCAAACAGGAUUAGAUACCCCUGUAGUCCCUGUCUCUUAUAC